GAGGGAGGAUUCUUUCAGCCUGCAGAUGAGAAUGCUAUCCAACCAACACCUUCAUCAAAUCUCUGAGACCCACGACAGAGAAGUCAGUAAUUGUUUUAGAUAUAUUCAUGUGAAGCAGGCUGCUGUGAUAAAAAAUGGAGAUGAUACUGGGGACAAGUUUUCAAAAUAGAGGUAUUCAUAAGCUAAGAGCAGCUGGAGAAACAAGGACACAGAAAGUAAAAGUAAUGGUGGAGUUUGUGAUCAAGAGGACAGAGAAAGUUGUUUUCAAAUUCAGAACAUGCUGACUCAUCCUUCUGUAAGAUAUCAAACAGCAGUAAGAGUUUCACUCUUCCCCCAUCUAAGAUAUCUCUGGGAAAAUAUCAUAAAUUUUAUUGGAAUGCAAACAUGAUUCUUUCAACUGGUCUCAUGUGGCUUCAGAGUCAUGAUUUCUCUCUGGGUUAAGGAAUACAGAACAAUACACUAUCACAAUCUGUAAUGAAGUCACUUUCUAAAUUAUGUGUAUAAAUAAUCUGUUCCUAUAAUGUAGAAAGUGAACUAAAGGUCACUUUAGAUACUAUAUGAGCACUUACCAUGCAAAUCAUUAGAUGUAGAAAAGGUAAAGACACUUUUGAAGGAAACAAAGGGCAAGGAAAACAAGAGACAAAUGUGUCUAGUGGUAAAAGGUAGUCAAAUGUGUGUGUGUGUGCAUGUGUGUUUGUGUGUGUGUGUGUAAGAAUCAUGAAAGGCUUUAGUUGCUUAAGUAUACAUAUAAACACUAAAAUCAUAGGAAGUAUAAGGAUGACAUUGCCUCAGAUACAAAGACUCCUUCAAGUUCCAC